UCUAAAGUUGGGGCACAUGACUGGCUCAGUCAGUACAGCAUGACUCUUGAUCUCUGGGUUAUGAGUUCAAGCGCCACAUUGGGCAUUUAGCUUACUUAAUAAUUAUUCCAAGGGGCGCCUGGGGCUCAGUCGGUUAAGCGUCCGACUUUGGUCACUUUUGAGGUCAUGAUCUCAUGGUUCGUGGGUUCAAGGCCUGCAUCAGGCUCUGCACUGGAUCCUCUUGGAUCCAGUGGAGGCUCUGCACUGGAUCCUUGUGGAGCCUGCUUGGAUUCUCCGUCUCCCUCUCUCUCUGCCCUUCCCCUGCUCGCACUCUCCCUCUCUCUCUCAAAAGUAAAUAAACAUUUAAAAAUAAAUAAAUAAUAAAUAAUUGUUCCAAAAUAAAAGUUCAUUUAAAAAAUGUUGGUGCCUCUUACAAGGUGAUGACCAGGCUACUUGACUGGGUUUUGGGGGUUCUCCAACCUUAUCUUCCCCUUCUUUCACCCUGUGAAAGAAUCCUCUGUUUGGCUGAAUGGUUUUUACUCACUGUCCUCCAGACAAAGUCUGUGCUCCCCUCUCCCCUGCAUUUGCCCUAGCCAUGUACCCUGCUGGACUGAUCACCUGCCAAGGAAUUGUCACAGUCCUUAACUGCAAACAGAUGCAAGCUAGUGUGAACCUACUGAAGCUCAAGCUUCAGGCCUGUCAUUUGCAAGGUCCCAGAGUGUGCACCAUGGCUGUUAGGAGAAAGUGAUCCCCCUGUAACCGCCUCUGCCACACAAAAAUCCUCACAGCCCUGAGACUCUGGGAGGUGUAUCGUAGUUGUAGUCUCGGCCACAUGUCCUUGACAUGCCAGGUAGCUGCAAGGGAGUCAGAUAGUAUCUGACUUUUCAUCUUCACUGUGUGAGGCCAGCUCUACCUCCAACCACAGUGGGAAAGUCCCCAAACACAGGAAGGGGAUUCAUUCACUGGUUCUUCACAAAGUGGCAGAUGUUCACUACAGGUGCUGUUUUAGAGCCAAAGCUUCCACGAGGCACAGCAGGCUCAGGUGACACUUGGGAAAUCAGCUUGGUUUGGCCUGGAGGCUGCCUGGUACAGACUGUGCUCCUGCAUCUGACUCACUAGACCAGGGUCGAGGGGACUUCAUCUCCCAAGGGCACUUGACCUAAAACCUUUACAAUAAAAAGGGCCCAUGUACAUGUCUUUAGCAAUGGAAAAGGGUCGUACAGGGGAGGUGACAGCCACCUGAAGCUGGGGGGUGUUCCCCAAGGCAAGAGAGCACUGUCGUGGGAGAAGGUCUGUGUGCUCUGUACCCAUGGUGGCACCAUCACUCCUCCGGCCACUGCAGCUAGAAAACUGGGAGCGUCAGACUCCUCCCUCUCACUCACCCCCAACAUCCAGGCAAUCAUCUGGGGCUAGCUACUGCCCCCUAAUAUUUCUCAGGUCCGUCUCAUCAGCAGGCAUCUUCUUCAGGAAGCCCUUGCUGACCUCCUACCUGGCUGGGAGGGGGAAGGUCAGGGGUCCGGCCUUUGUGCUCCUGUUGAGCACAAAGCUCAUUAACUUUGCAUGUAUCUUAUGGUUGCCCUUGCCACAUAGCAUUAAAAUGGUCUAUUUCCUCAUCUCUUUGUUCAAGCACAGAAUGCGCCUAUCCCUCUUUGUACCUCCAGUGCCUGGCACACAGGAAUGCACAACUCGAUAAACAUUAGACAGAUGGAAAGAAGGAAGAAGGGGAGAAGACAAGAAGUAGGCUGAGCUUGAGAAGGGCCCCUUGGACUAAGCAAUGAAAUGUCCCCCACACUCUUACCCCUUAAUGCUGCCUGCAGCAUGCUUGCCCCAGCCAGACUCAGAGCUGCCUCGCUGGUGUGAAGGGUACAAGUAGAAGACAGGCAGUGAGCCCUCUGAGCUUGCUCUCAGACUCCCCUGUGCCAGGUGAUCCUGGGGACACUGGGGACCAUGCAGGGCCUCAUUAGGAGGGACCUGCGGAAGACAAAAGAGGCCUCAGGCCCUGGGUGGGUUAAUCAGCAGCAUUAGCCCCAUACUGCCCUCCUCAGACUUCUACAUGAGAAAGGUAUAAACCUAAGUCACUGCUGUUUGGGGUUUUACCAUUGUAUACAGCUGAACUAAUAAUCCUGUGGCUCUAAGCUUGCUGGAACAUUCUCUCUUGCCUCCUUCGGGGCCCUGCUUGCAAGGCAGGUGUGUGUCAGGAGGCUUGCAAUUGGAAGCCCCAGAGAAUGUUACCUGGCACUGGUGGCCCCUGCAGCGGAUAGAUGGUUCCUGGGUCCCCAGUGCCAGCACAUGCAAGGAAUGAGGAAAUGGGGUGGGCAAGUCGUCCGGCCUCUCUACUCCUUGGGUUCCUUGCUCUGAAAACAAGAAAGGUGAUCUCCAAGGUUCGUAUAGCCUCAAGUUCAAAAUAUUUGUCUUAUGAAUGAAAAAGUAGCACGGAAGAGAUGGGGGGUUUAGGUGUAGGCAUUAUACCUGGGCUCCAAUCCUGGCUCGGCCACUAACCAGCCGUGCAUCUUGGACAAGUUCCUGCACCUCUCUAAGCCUCUGUUUUCCUGAAGUCUGAAAGUGAAACUAUCUUUGCGCCUGCUUUGCAGGGGUGUUUCAGGAUAAGAAAUACUGUAGACAAACGUCUGGGCACAGAGCGGCCACUCGGUAAGUGGGGCUGCUAGGUCUUUGUGGGUGGAAAGUCCUUCAGAGAGUCUAGCUGAGCUGAGCCCUGGGUGGUGAGGUGAGGAACAUGAUGGCAGGCAGGUAAGCAACAUGGGCAAAGGAAGGGAUAGGCAUAAUGUGAUGGUAAAGAGUGGGUACAGUGUGGUCCCAAACGGGGAGAGACGACGCUUCCUUUCAAGUGUGACGCAAGACAGUCUACAACAGGUGCCACUUCCAGCAAAGGGAACUGCAUGGGUCACAUGGCAUAUGAGCUGGGCACUACACGAAAGCAGGAUUUGUAGAGCAGAAGCUGGAAGACAGUGGAGUUAACACCAUGGACCAAGGCAGAGAGCUGAGAGCGUGUCCUGUGUGUUCCGGGGGUGGGGAGGGCAACAGUGGAUGAGGAAUGCUCAAAUGCUUUAAACGGAGCACUUGGGCCCCUCUUCUCUGCAGGACAACGACAAGACAGGCCAGCGAACCUCCACUGCUCACGCUGUCUCCUACCUGCUUCCUCUCAGCACCUCUGCGUAGGCUGUGUCUGUGAGGCCAGAGCCAGAAGGCCUGGGUCUGGAAGGAGCCUCUGCGGUCCCCUGGGAGACCUGCAAAGGGGCUGGUACAGCACUUGUGUUCAGAAGGUGAAAGACUUGGAGAGCAGGCAAGCAGGCAUUCACUGCAGCUUCCUUCCCGCCUGGCGGCUGGCUGCGUGCCCUGAACUUGACCUCAGAUGACCUGUGUGUUCCCUUCCUGGAAACGGUUCCAUUGCCAGAAGCAGUUGAGCUUUGGCUUUGGCUUUCUUUCUCCUUCAGAGCAGGGACUCUGGCUUAGCUGAGAUUGGCUCUGCUACUGUAAAAGUCCCCCCAUUAGCUGAGCAGGACCUUGCUUUCUUGUCCAUCACCUUCCACGGGGGUGGCUGCUGCUCUCCACCUGUCCUCUUACCCCUUGUCAGCCUUCAGGUUCUCAGUUUAGCUUUGGCGACUUUUAAGAGUGGAGAUAACUGCAUAGAUAAGGUGACUUUAAGAGUGCAAGAUCACUGCAAAGAUAAGGACAUAAAGACCAAGUGGGGGAAGUGUGAAAUGUUCUCCCCAGGCUGCUCAGCUAGUUAGCUGUGGAGCUGGGACAGCCCAGGAGUUCAAACUCUCAGACGAUGCUCUCUUUCUGGGCUAUGAGUUGCCUAACUCCACACUCCUCAAAUUCAUUAAAGCCGGAGGUGUGGACCUUCGCUAAUGUGCAAGUCUGGAUUAAUGUCAGUGUCUUGAAAUCCUCGUGUGAAAACGUGAAUUUUGUUUCAGGCAUUGUCCUUGGUAACUACCAAAUACCAUGCUUGGUUGUUUUGUGGAUUGGGCUGGCAUGAAAAAUAAUUCCAAAAAUGCUUGAAUUUGCCCAGUGUCGCUGAUUAGUGUUGCCUUAGGAAAGGAAAUCCAGUAUUAGCCCCAACAAGGGGAAGAAACUGCAACAUUUUCUCUCUAGUCAAAUGCAUAAGGUAUAUACAUAGCAUACUUACCAAAGAAAGGGACUAAUUUCUAAUCAGCAUACAGGCUAGAAUGUUAUUAAUCCCAUAUAGGUUGCUUUGGUCCAAAGCCUUCACACUUACCUUUGGAGCCAGUUUAUGGGUCCCAGUAGAGAGCCAAGCUCUGUUUACCGUUCAACAGCAAUAUGUUGAACAUCUGGGUCCCAGGCACUGGGCAGGGUGCUGGGAAUACACUGGGUAGCAAAUAGGCACACGUGUACUUUAAGAGUGACCUCUUCACUUAAAGAAAUGUCUUCUCUAGGUUUGAAUGCCAUCUUAAUCAUCAGGUUUGGUUCUGAAAGAUAUUUUUGACUGCUUUCUAAAAUUAAGCUCCUCUCCAAAGGAUAGAGAAUGAAUUCACUGAUUGAAACUACCCAGAAGAAAAAUGUAGCUUAGACAAAGGCAAUCUCAAAAGAGGAAUUCCCAAGACAUUUUAAGCAAUGGCCACGCAACCUCCCAAGGAGACGGUUAAAUAAGAAACAUGUAUUGGGAAGCGGUAUUUAUUUAAAAUGCAAAGGCACAUUUUCAUGAGAACAAGGUUUUGGCUUCUGGAAGCCAGCCACCUCUCAAAGCAAGAUGACCAAAUGGUCUGAACCACCUCAGAUCUAUUGGUUGCUGUCUACUGGCCAUGAGCCCUUAGGCUAAGACUGUCCCGGGCAUCCACAUCUGACAGCACCUGCCUGCGGAAUCUCCAAAUCAAGGCAAAUUACAAGACUGACAGAGCUUAGAAACAAACCCGCUUAUUUACACGGGUUCCCCUGUUGCCGAGGAUAUUUCAUUGAUCAAAGAUAAGUGUUAUCAUUUGAGUUUCCAGGUUCUCGCAAAGAGCUCAUUCUAUAUGUUUUCUAUUUUAUACAGACCUUUCUCAUUUACCCUCUCCCUCGAGGCCAUACCCCGACUCUUGUGGUAGGCAUUAAAAAUUCCCACUGUAUGGACAGACAAACUAAGGUUUGGUUAAAUGGCUUGCCAAAAGCCUACAGCUACAGCGGGCCACUGAUGGGGCUUGAGACCGGGUCUUGCAGUUCCUCCUCCAUCAGACACAGAGUUUAGACUCCUGCAGAAACGUGUGAUGGCUUGUGCAAGCAGUGGUUCCCAGCCUGGCCAAACAUUAGACCUCGCCCAGGUGUGGCUAGAUGUUGCCAAGGACAUGAGGCUUGGAGUCCCCACCCAGCUCCAUUCGAGGAGAAUCUCUGGGUGUGGGGCCUGGGCACCAGUAUUCCUGGAGUUCUCCAGGUGGCUGCAAUGGGCAAAACUGAAAUCAUUCUGUUAGUAAGCCGGAUCUGCUUCCUUCUUUCUCAAGGACCCGCUUUCCAGUUGUCUUUUUUUCAAUAAUAAUGUUCUAUUUCUCAAGUGUAGGAAUAAUACUUAUUUGUAGAAAUUUUAGAAGAAAGGUAGGGCGAAGAAAAAAAUCGCCAAGAGAUCCAUUGUUAAUAUUUUGAUGUAUUCUCCUCUAAUCUUUGUACAUAUCUACUUACAAAUUUUGGUAAUAUAUACUAAUAUUUUCUUUUGAUUGCAUAUGGUAAAUAGUUUCCAAUGUUGCCAAAUAGUUUUCAAAAACACUAUUUUAAUGUGAAAGCAGACAAGAUUUUUAAAUAUACUGUCCCCAACAUUAAUAGUGAUUAACAUUGGACUAAAUAAAUAAACACUUAAGAAAAUAAAAUAAAAUCAGUAAAAUCAUUAUAAUGGCUGCAUGAUAAUUUAAUGGGCUCACCUCCUAUAAAUCAAUCAAUCUUUAAUAUAGGACACUUAGAUUGUUUCUAGUUUUCUGUUGUUAUAAGUAAGUCUUCUAUGAAGAUCCUUGUACCUACAUUUCUGUGCACCACUUUCUUAGAAGUGAAAUUAAUGAGCUGGAGGGUAUAAACCUUAUGAAGUUUGUUGAUAAACAUUGCUGAAUUGCUUCCCAAAAGGGUACAUGAAUUGCUGGUCCCCUCGGUGUAAAGAGAAUUGGGAAAGAGAAUUGUUACAGUCUUUGCAAAAUUAAGUAUUUUCAUUCUGUGAUCCGUCAGUUUGCUAUGAUUAUUAAUGAGGCUGGACUUUUUAUAUCUUUAUUGGUCAUUUGUAUUUCUUCUUUUGUGAAUGUUCAUGUCCUUUGCCUUCCCCUGCCUUUUGGGUGUUUAUCUUUUUUCUCACAUAUGAAGCAUACUAAGUAUAUAACACUUUUCCAUUCAUUUGUUUUGUAAAUGUUUUCCCUAAAUUUAUCAUUUAAUUUGGGUUGUUGACAUACACAAGAGCUUAUUGAUUUUAUGCUCAGAAAUACCUUUAGACUGUUUGAUCAGGUAAAUAGUUACCAACAGUUUCUUCUACAAGUCUCAAUGAAUAAAAGCCUGCUUACAUAGGAGCAGUUUUUCUGGUUAAGCAGGAUUUUAUUGGUCUGGACUAAGAAAACCAGUCCAUCUCCUACAGGAACCUGACUUGAAAUGAUCAAAACUAUAAUAUUUUUUAGUUUACAUUCUUUGAACUACCCCACUGGAUACAUGAUAAUGUAAAAAACAUGUUGGUUGUUCCCAUCUUUGUAGGGCAAAACAUUUAAAUUUUUUUAAUGUUUAUUUAUUUGAGAGAGACAGAGAGAGCCAGAGACAGAGCACAAGCAGGGGAGGGGUAGAGAGAAAGGGAGACACAGAAUCUGAAGCAGGCUCCAGGAUCUGAGCUGUUGGCACAGAGCCGGACGUGGGGGUCGAACCCGCAAACUGCGAGAUCAUGACCUGUAGUUGGAGGUUUAACCUACUGAGCCACCCAGGUGCCUCAGUAGGUCAAAAUAUUUAAAAGCAAACAGUAUGCAUAGCCUCUUGCAAAAGACUGCCCCACCCACAAAUUAACAAAGUCUGCUUUCUCUCUGAUUUCAGAAAUAGGGUAGGUUUUAGGAGGGUACCACUGGGCCCUAGGUGGAGACUUUCUUUCAACCCAAGCCUCUCCUAGUCUCCCGCCUUGGGGACAGACAGACUCUAAACCUGAGCAGGGUUGCUCUGGAAUGUAGUAUCUGGUAGAUACUUACACUAAAAAAUUUUAUGUUGCUUCUCUGACCUUCAGACUUAACUUGGAUGCCCUGUAUUUUUGUUUGCUAAAUCUGACAUCCCUGAUACUGAGGUUUCCUUUCAGUGGUGAUGUUGGGGUCUGCGUCCCAGGCGUGCCCACAGGAAGCAGUACACAGACGUCGCACAACUGGUAGAUCACAUAAAGGUGUUUACCUGCCUCCCUCCAAAGAGGCUCUCAUGGCCAAGGGGCAGCCUCUUCCCUGGGCCCCAGGGAUACUUUCUAAGAAACCCACUGCAUUGACUUUUCUAUAGCAAUCAGCAGGUACUUAGAAACCUAAGCUCUUCACCCAGGCCUUGUGGGCUGCUCCCAGGCUUCCUGCACGUCAUGGUUCCUCUUCCUCCUUUUUCUAGCAGCUGUGAGGUUCUUCUUGGGCUGGUGGAUCCAGGCAGGCCCAGGUCCACGGAUCACACUUUGGCAAGCGUCUGAAGCUUUUCCUGAUUGGCUGCAGGAUGGCCCAGGCGCCUGGUCUUUUCAAUUCCAGGGCUUUGGCGAAACCGCCAGGCCCAGGAGGUCGGAAUCCAGGGCAAUGUGAUCCACGUCUGUGAGAAAGGCAACCGCAGGGAGAGGGCAAGGAGGCACAUGGCAGCAUUGUACCUACUGCACUUCCCCAACCCCUCAUGACUUGCUUUGGCCCGUGAAAUGAAUGCAGAAGUGGCUUGUAUUACUUCCAGAUGAACACUUGGAGAAUUAGUGCUUGAUUUGCCCCGUCCUCGCUUCCUGCCUUCAGGGUCGAGGAGGCAGCAUGUCCAGUUCCAGCUGCCUGCGUCCCUGGGUGGCUGUGGGAAACAGAGCUCCUCUUGACCCACAAUGGACACAUUUCAUGAUCGAGGAAUAAACUUUUAUGUCAAACCACUGUGAUCUGGGGAUUAUUUGUUAUUA